UGCAAUUAGAGAAUGAAGAAUGAUGACCCCUGGCUCAAAAUAUAAAUAACGCAUGUGCUAUUUCUUUCUAGAAGGUUAAAUAUGCAAGCAACUUACUGAGGAGGAUUCUUGGUUCCUUCAUUUAUCGGGGGUUUCAGUCGGGACUUCUCAUUCACGCACCACCACGUACCACCAAGCAUCCUACUAGAGAACAUUGAAAGACAAUGUAUUACUGAUCAAAUAACACGUUUCAGAGCUGUUGCGUUCCACCCUACCCAGCCCUACAGAUUCGGCGCCAUGCAAUGCCUCUUUCCAUAUCUGAUCCUAUGCCUACAAUAGCUUCAAGCCGGGGCUAUUCUUUUGAUUCAGAUUUUGAUAACUUGAGAAUUGUCAGAAAUAAUGGUUCCUUAUUACAAAAUGAAAACCAAUUAGUGCCUAAAUCAUAUCAGUGAACUCAAGAUCUUAUGGACCCGGGAGCUCCUAAAUAAGUGAAGGAUUAGGGUCUCACGACUUGCGAUCUAACGAGUAAUGACAUGAUCAAAAUCAAUAGCUAAGUUGUCUCUCUUGCUGUUAUCACAUCAAGUUUACGUCACUUCGUUGUGCAACUCUGGUUUUUUCUACUUUCAACGAGACGGAAAUAAUUAAAAAUUGUUAGACAGUUAUAGACAGUCAGUAAAAUACAAAAUUAUACCUUAUUACGUGUCAUGAGCGCAGCAGGCUGGACUUGAGGUUAUGUUCGGAGAUGGGGUGCUCGUUGAAUUCGGAAAUGAAAUCAAUGAGAGAGAGUGUCAGGAGGAACCAAACGUUUUAUGGCCGUUCGAGAAAAAUACGACACAUUAUACACUCAUAAUGACAGUCUCAUGCAAUACUUAUCAUGGAAUAAUUUAGAAUACUGAAUGGCGUCACGUCUCGGUAAGGUAUCAAAUAAAUUAAUUAUGCCUGUUAAUUGUUCUGUUUAAAGUGUUUUUGUCCUUGUCUUUCCAAAAUAACAGGAAAUUCUUUUCCAACAUAUGAGUGUUAUCGAGCUCUUUUGAUUAGGGGGUCUAACUGCUCAAAGUCUGACGUCUUUGACACCUUUAAUUGUAAUUUUUUCACUCCUCAGAGAUAAAUGGACUACAUUUUGCAAUUCGGAACCAUAACCUCUAGCUCAUCUGUAAAAACACUUAUGCCCAUAGGAAAACUAAUGGCACGUAUGUUGUUUUUAACCUGAGCCAGAAAUUAUAGUUCCUAAUUGCAAAAUGUGGUCCAAAUAAUCUUGUAAUUUAUGUAUCUUCAUGUUCACCAGGGCGCAUGCGACCCCUGACCACUUCGCAGUUUAACUUUCUGAAACGCUUUGCGCCUCAUACAGGGUGUUUCAGACCACCCGUACCAGGCCUUUUUCUCCGUUGUUUUAGGUCUUACGAAGUCGGGGACCGCGGGGUUGAAUAGGAAAUCGAUGCCAAGGAAUCCGAAUUUCGUGGUCCCGAAACCCCCCCGCCCCCCCCCCUUGGGGGGUAAAGGGGGGUCACGAUGCUAAAAGUCACGGUUCCCGACCGAAUGGGCCUGUUGCAAACUUUUGCUAGAGCAAAAAUAAGAGUUGUUUCCUAUAGAUAAUGCCUCAAAAAUCACGAUAAGCGCAUCGGCAAAGUCUGAAAUGCACUCAUAACUUCACAAUCUGCAUAAGAAAUUUGCGUCUUUUUGAGCUUCCCGCUUCAAAAACGAUACUACGGCACAGGUGAACAUUUUCUUAGAAGAGUCGCUCCAUCGUCGGCAAUAUUCAUCAUGGCCGACGCUUGCGCAGUUCCGCGCGUAAUUCGAGGAGAGUUCAAGGUCAAUCAAGGCGGGCGAGGAAAAUAUGAACGUAAACACGCCAAUUGUUAUCUGGUCUAAUCCUGUUCAGGUGUUAUCUCGUCCCAUCACAGGUGUUUUGGCGGAUUGUCGUCGGCCAUGAUGAGUAUUGCCGACGAUGGAACGACUCCUCUAACAAAAUGUUCACCUGUGCCGUAGUAUCGUUUUUGAAGCGGAAAGCUCAAAAAACCGCAAAUUUCUUACGCAGAUUGUGAAGUUAUGAGUGCAUUUCAGACUUUGCCGAUGUGCUCAUCGUGAUUUUUAAGGCAUAAUCUAUAAGGAACAACUCUUAUUUUUGCUCUAACAAAAGUUUGCAACAGGCCCAUUGCGGAUUGAUCGCAUCAGAAUUGAAAAGCUCGGAAAAUUUCACGUGAAUUUGACCCCUAAAAAUCCAAAAUCGGCCCAUCCAAGGCCCAAAAAUGAUCCCCUGAAGAGGGGGACAGUACCCCCUCCAUAAUUUCUCUUGGUCUCAAAAUUAACGUAGAUUCUCCAGAAAA
rnacentral:lncRNA from 1 species